GGCAAAGAAAUUUUCUAUUUUUUUUCUAACACAUUAAAGAAAAAUUUCUUAACUUCAAAUAAUAUAGAGAAACGAACGGAAAAGGGAAAGUCGAACGGUAGGAAUUAUUUCUACAUCCUCUUUUAGUUUAAUUUUCUUGAAUUUGUGUAAUAUUUGAAGCCUCGAAAAACUUGCAUUACAUUUCUCGUGGUCUCUCUCUCUCUCUCUCUCUCUCUCGUCUACCUACUAUCAGUUAUCAAUUACGUCAACAACAUAAAAUUACCGUUAAUCUAAGCCAUGACUCAUUUUCUCCUUCUUACCGUCUCUGAUUCAUAUUUAUACUCGUAGAAUGAAACGACGUCUCGUGCAUUUAACAUCGAUGUAAAGAAAAUAAGAAGAAGAUUUUCGUUAAUUAGAGUGGAAAAAAUAAAAGAACGACGACUAUUACGAGUGAAAAAUAAUUUAGCAAUGAUGCAGAUCUUUCUUAUUCGUCGUCUACGUUUUCAUCUUCUAAUUUAGAAGAUCUUAUCUCUGAAAAUCGAAGAAAUGCGAAAUACGAGUUAGUCACGCACGUUCCUAUUUUUCGAGGAAAACUAUGGAACGACGUCGUUCAAGACAAAUGGCGUUCUUUUGGUUAAAAGACGAAAAGCGAAUAGGUGAGUAAGAAUGAGAAGGAAUACUAGAAAUAGGAGAAAAAAAAAAAGAAUAGAAUGGUAAAAGGACGAAAUACCACGUAAAAGUUUUACCUGAGUCCAAAAGGACAGAAAGAGAUGACAAAAAAAAAGGGGAGAGGAAAAGGUUCGAUUCAUAGAAAAUAAUUCUUGAAUCGAUCGAAAAGAAUUCGUAUGAAGGUAACUUAGAAGACGCAAAAAGAGAUCAUACAUUAUUACAACCACAACUAUAAAUUUGUGAUGAUAGUAACGGUUACAUAAUUGGCGGGGCCGCCCCUUCCUGAGCAAUAACUUUAAAAUCCCACGUAUUACACGAUACUAAUCUAUGUGUGUCGAGUAUGUGUGACGUCGAACAGAUAGAGUGAAUUAAUUUAGGUAUAUGAACAUUACUGUCGCAUGUUAAACAGAGAGAGAGAGAGAGAGAAAGAUGUUAAAAGAUAAUAAUUCAAGAGUUGGAAUCAUUUAUAUAGAAUGAACAAAAGGAAAAAUAUAUAACAAGAUAUAUAUUCAUUGUUAGAAUCAUCAUAAAUCAUAAAUUUGCACUAAGCGUUUCAUUUUACAACGAUAUGAUCCCGAUCGAUAUCUUUUAACUCAUUGCAAUUUUUUAAAAUAAACAAUUUACACGCAUUACGUAUGUAUAUAAAUAUGUUUACUGAUUUUACUACAAAUUAUUUUAAAUUUGUCGUCAUAUUCAACGGGGUGACAAACGACAAACUCAUAUUGUACACCGAAGCCUUGUAACAUUCACCUAAAACCACGAAUACGUACAAGAUUUCAGAACAUAUGAUAUUCAAGGCUAAGAGAACUCUUGGUUCAUCCUGUAUCCAAGACGAAAAGAAAGGACUUGAGAUAAAUGAGAACAUGAGAAAUCCGGGAUUUAAUUAAAAAAAAAAAACAAAAAAAAAAGAAAUGCCUACACCCCGAACUUACCGAGUAAUUUUGAUCAAAACCAAGAUUUUAAGUGAAAGUUAAAAAGACUAAGGUAGUUACACACAUGCUACGCAAGGUCACUUGAUAGUAGCUCUAUAUCAAAAGUUAAUGCGUUUAAAAUGGCGCCACACACGCAGCAGUGUGUCUGCUUGCUCGUACUCUGAACUAAAUACAUAUUUACGUUGAAGGAAAUAUUUCUUAAGCCAUACACAGACAUAUAUAUAUAUAUAUACAUAGAUACAUACACGUUUCUAAAAGUGAUCAAAGGAAAAACACGUUUGUUCGCUCCUUCGUAUUAUAUAAAAUAAAUUAAAAAAUAAGAGAACGUAUUUUUAUAAAGAAAAUACGCAACAAAUUUUUUCAAAUCGUAUCAAUAAUAAGAUGAUUGAGUAUUGAAAUAAAAAUUAGGGAUUGAUGAAAUUAUUCCUGAAUUAAAGGGAACUCUCUCUCUCUCUCUCUCUCUCUCUCUCUCUCUCUCUCU
rnacentral:lncRNA from 1 species